GAUGAAGAACGCAGCGAAAUGCGAUAAGUAAUGUGAAUUGCAGAAUUCAGUGAAUCAUCGAAUCUUUGAACGCACCUUGCGCUCCUUGGUAUUCCGAGGAGCAUGCCUGUUUGAGUGUCAUUAAAUUCUCAACUACACUGACUUUGAAUUGGUGUGGCUUGGAUUUGGGUGGGAAAAUUGUUGUGGGCUUUUUGUAUAGUCUGCUCCCCUGAAAUUGAUUAGCGGUACCUUUGUGGAACUGUCUACAGGUGUGAUAAUUAUCUACAUCCUAGACAUCUGCUGGAAUGCUGCUUUCUAAACCUUACUUGUAUUGACAAUCUUGACCUCAAAUCAGGUAGGACUACCCGCUGAACUUAAGCAUAUCAAUAAGCGGAGGA
rnacentral:misc_RNA from 1 species